rnacentral:lncRNA from 1 species
UGCCCAGUCAACAGAAUGGAGAAAAGAGAAAUUUGGUUUGAAAUGAAAUUUGAGUCUUGAGAGAGGGCUGAUAUGAAGGAGAAUCAAACAAGCCACAUGGGAGCAUCUGAAGGCCUGGAGAUAAGGGCCUGUUGCAUGGCUGUGAAAAUUUGGCCUUUAAAAUAACUAGGCAUGGGCCAGAAAUCACAGCCGGCGGCUGCGACCACCCAGGGCAGGAGAUCCAGCGGGGGACUAUGGAGCUCAGUGGAGCUGCGGCCUGGGAGAAGCCCACCCAAGAGAACCAUGUAACUAGAAACCAUCACAUUCGGCUUCGUGUGAGGGAGAAGCAGAUUGCCAAGAUGGUACAGACAGCA